AUAUUAGUAUAGAUUAAUUUCUGGGUUUUCAAAGUACAGUAAAGAACUAAUGUAUUUUUAUGUUUUAUUUAUUGUGACAAAUCGUAUUAUUGUUUUAAAUUGUUAUGACUUGAAAAAAUUUUGUCCUAAACAUAUAGUAGUUUACGUAGCAGCUACAAUAUUUUUUGUUUGUUUUUAUAUGAUGCGGGAGAACGCGCGCACCUGACAGAUCCUGUCUCUUUAAAAUUCAAGGUCAGUUCGUUGGGUUGCGUUAAACCCCUUAUUCCUUUUUUCGUGAUUAAUUAGUGAUUACUUGUAAUUGAUAUUACUCAAGUGUAGCGGUGCGUUAUUUCUAAAUCUGAACGUUAACUAGUGUAAAGAUCUACAAUUCAAAUAGCAGAUAUUUUUCCGAAGAACACGUCCAUUAAAAAGUAGCUAUCCGGUAAAUAGAACUAAUUGAAUAAAACAUGUCCUACUAUAAAAAGCCCAAUCAGUUGGAAAGAAUCUCUUUUGUUACUCCUCGGCUACCACCAAGGCAACAAUUUACAAUGAAAGUGCUGCUGUACUUUUUAUUAUCGCUUAAAAUAAUUUGCGAUCGUUUGGCUGUUCUAAGGAGGUAAAUGCAAGACAUGGCUAUCCGAUUCUUAUAUAAUUCAGAAGAAUCUUCCAUCCCAAAGCUUUCAGUUAUAAUAAAAAUGUAUUCUACUUGAUGUGCCCGCUAUUACUAGAAAAUGGAUAAAAUGAUUCCACUCUUAAGUUGUAGAUAUUUCUCAUAGCUUUUAUAACAUACACCUAGGUUCGGAUUACAAAAACACAUGGAAAAAA